rnacentral:rRNA from 1 species
AACACCGAAGUUAAGCAUCGUAGAGCCAGGUCAGUACUUAGAUGGGGGACCGCUUGGGAACACCUGGUACUGUAAG